AUACGUAGGGGGCGAGCGUUGUCCGGAAUUACUGGGCGUAAAGGGUGCGUAGGCGGAAUGUCAAGUCAGAUGUGAAAUACCCGGGCUUAACCCGGGGGCUGCAUUUGAAACUGACAUCCUUGAGUGCAGGAGAGGCAAGUGGAAUUCCUAGUGUAGCGGUGAAAUGCGUAGAUAUUAGGAGGAACACCGGUGGCGAAGGCGACUUGCUGGACUGAAACUGACGCUGAGGCACGAAAGCGUGGGGAGCAAACAGGAUUAGAUACCCUGGUAGUCCACGCCGUAAACGAUGGAUACUAGGUGUGGGGUCCGAUAGGAUUCCGUGCCGCAGCAAACGCAAUAAGUAUCCCGCCUGGGGAGUACGAUCGCAAGGUUGAAACUCAAAGGAAUCGACGGGG
rnacentral:rRNA from 1 species